CCUACGGGAGGCAGCAGUGGGGAAUAUUGGACAAUGGGCGAAAGCCUGAUCCAGCAAUGCCGCGUGAGUGAUGAAGGCCUUCGGGUCGUAAAGCUCUUUUACCAGGGAUGAUAAUGACAGUACCUGGAGAAUAAGCUCCGGCUAACUCCGUGCCAGCAGCCGCGGUAAUACGGAGGGAGCUAGCGUUGUUCGGAAUUACUGGGCGUAAAGAGUACGUAGGCGGUUAUUCAAGUCAGAGGUGAAAGCCCGGGGCUCAACCCCGGAACUGCCUCUGAAACUAGAUAGCUAGAGUCUUGGAGAGGUUAGUGGAAUUCCGAGUGUAGAGGUGAAAUUCGUAGAUAUUCGGAAGAACACCAGUGGCGAAGGCGACUAACUGGACAAGUACUGACGCUGAGGUACGAAAGCGUGGGGAGCAAACAGGAUUAGAUACCCUGGUAGUCCACGCCGUAAACGAUGAUAACUAGUUGUUCGGUCACUUGGUGACUGAGUGACGCAGCUAACGCAUUAAGUUAUCCGCCUGGGGAGUACGGUCGCAAGAUUAAAACUCAAAGGAAUUGACGGCUGAGACGNGCGAGACGACGACGAGGAGAG
rnacentral:rRNA from 1 species